CACGAACACAGUCCGGGCACGAUGGCGUUGGCGAGGAUCUUUUCUUCACAACUUUCUUUGGUGUCCAGGGGCUUAAUUUGGAAAUGCAUCGACAAUCCAUGUGUCUUGUCAGUAGCAGGGAAGCAGACCGUGGCUCAGGAGCUCGGCUUGCCAGAUCCCCCAAAAAGACCCAUGACGCCAUACAUACGUUUUGUGAAUGCAAAUCGACAGGAGAUCAAGAAGAAAUAUCCUGAACUCUCUGCACCUCAGUUGACAAUAAAGCUGGCAUCUCUCUGGAAUGAACUUGGUUUACCAGAGAAGAGCAAGUGGUCUUUACUAUACACUAAAGACAGAGAGGCUUAUGACCUAAAAUACAAGGAGUACAUGAAAAAGCUCACCCCACAGCAGAUUGAGAGUAUGAAGGACCUCAAGCGGAAAAGAUCGCAAGACAAAUUGAAACGGCAGAUCAGGAGAGACAAAAAGAAAGAGACGGAAGAACUGGGGAAGCCGAAGCACCCUGGCAAUGCCUUCACCUUGUACCUGCUCUCCUUGGACCGAGGGGAAGCUCCUCUCAAGGAAUUCCUUACUGGUGCUGCUAGCAGAUGGCGUCGUCUGCCAGAGGAGGAGCAAGAGGUAUUUCGUGAGAGAGCGAAGAAGCAGAGGGAGCAGUAUGAGCAGGAACUCAGACACUGGGAAGCUAAGAUGAUCAAAAGCGGAAGGGCAGAUCUAGUACGUCGACACCAGCAGCUGGAAGACCUGAAGCACACUGCCACUCACCGUCGGCACAUUCAAGAAUAGGGAUUCGCAUCAGGUGGUGCUACGGGAGAGUCAGGGGUUCUGGACAGAUCUCCGAAGCGAGGGAAGAAAAGAAGCCAGGAGAAGUUAGCCGAUAGUCAGAAUGUAGUUAGGGAGAAGGGCGUCUUGGUAGGUAAGAGAACUACCAAAAGAAAGGAACGUCUGAGCAGCACGGUUCACGGAAAUAGUGAAGAGGUGAAGGAAGACGAGAGAGAAGUGAAAGUUACUGUAAAGAUUGAUUCAUCGGAGGGAAAAACAAAAAGAGAUAAUCCAAAAUCAAAACCUGAAUCCAUAAGGCUUCCCCCUAGGGUUGAUAACAUGGAAAAAGAAAAUGCAAUUGCUUCAGGAAAAAAUGACAGAUCUGAUAAUGAUUGCUUACACUCUGGGCUCUUCCCAGAAUCACCUGAAUGUCAGAGAAAUAUCCAGGUUAUGAAACCAGGAGAUGGUAGUUAUUUGGAGUCCUCAGAUGCGACUAUAGUAUCUAACACACGGCAAGAGUCGGUAGAACAUAACAUUUUUCAUUUAAGCCAUAAACAUUUUCCAGUGAACAAUUGCACUGAAACUGUAAAUAUUGAAAUUGUUUCUGAUGGAAAACCUGAAAGGCUUGCUUCAACAGUACAAGAUUAUUCAGAAAAUCAUUCAGGAAUAAAAUCACCAAUCAUCAUACAUCCAAAUGAGAAUCCUUUAAACCACAUGAAUCCAGAAUAUGUACAUUUAAAGAAUAUUUAUCACCAAGACCCAUCAUAUUCAGUGCUUAGUCCACUGUCAACAAACAUGGCUAUUAUACCUGGUAAUGAACACUCAGGAAAUGUAAAGAAAUGUACAAGCAGUCUUUCUCCAGUGUCGUCUGCUCCAGAUGUAGCAUCAGAUAUUCUUGUUCUUGAAAGCAAGGACGCAAGGAGUGAUGAUGUCGAGAAAGGUCUGCACAAUCUAAGGAUGAAUAUGCUGGUGGUUGUGGAUCUUUGCUGAUGGCUGGGCAGAUAUCUGGAUGUGGCUGGAAAACCUACUUGAUGAAAUCUUCCCUCCAGCUCAUGGCAUUCAGGAAGAAACACCAGAUAGCCCAAAAGAAAGGUGUUCUCACAAUCUGAAGAACAAAAGCUAAUCUGGUACAUCCAUGGUUUAUCUUCCUGUUCUGGUAUUUAUGUUAUGUGGCCAUAUUUUCCUGUGAAGAACUUUUGUGCCAUGUAACUUGAUAUCCAUUAGUAUCUCUAUAAAUGAGGGGAGCACUGAAAACGUGAUGAAGACCAUAUUAACCCUAUGCCGGGCCUAUGCAAUAUUGCAUCGGGAAAGUCACACUGGUGCGUCGCCCCGUCAUCGGGCAUUUAGCCGUGUCACACGGGUGUGAUGCACCGUCAUCAAAAGGUAAAGGACAUUAUUGUCUGUUCAGCUUAGCAGGAAGAAAUGCAAUGUCAAAUUACAUUAAAUAAGUAAAAAGCCAACUGUCUUCAGAAACCAAUGAAUGUUUGUAAUCUUUUGCUUGCAAUGUCAUCUGAGAAUGAAAAUAAGUUAAGUGAUGAUUUUUCUUUCUUUGUAAAAAGUGUACUUGUUAAAGUAAUAAAAUUGAAAAUUAUAUA
rnacentral:misc_RNA from 1 species